rnacentral:rRNA from 2 species
ACGGCGAGUGAGCGGCAAAGCUCAAAUUUGAAAUCUGGCACUUUCAGUGUCCSAKUUGUAAUUUGAAGAAGGUAACUUUGGAGUUGGCCCUUGUCUAUGUUCCUUGGAACAGGACGUCACAGAGGGUGAGAAUCCCGUGCGAUGAGGUGUCCAAUUCUAUGUAAAGUGCUUUCGAAGAGUCGAGUUGUUUGGGAAUGCAGCUCUAAGUGGGUGGUAAAUUCCAUCUAAAGCUAAAUAUUGGCGAGAGACCGAUAGCGAACAAGUACAGUGAUGGAAAGAUGAAAAGAACUUUGAAAAGAGAGUGAAAAAGUACGUGAAAUUGUUGAAAGGGAAGGGCUUGAGAUCAGACUCGGUAUUUUGCAAGCCUAUCCUUCGUGGAGAGGUUUAUUAGCAGCUUACCGGGCCAGCAUCGGUUUGGAUGGUAGGAUAAUGGCAUUGGAAUGUGGCUCCUCGGAGUGUUAUAGCCUUUGUUGAUACUGCCUAUCUAGACCGAGGACUGCGUCUUUGACUAGGAUGCUGGCGUAAUGAUCUUAAGCCGCCCGUCUUGAAA